rnacentral:rRNA from 1 species
GUCUUUAAGAAAUUAAUUUAAAGUCCAAUCUGCCCAAUGAUUUAAUUUAAUGGCUGCAGAAUUUUAACUGUACAAAGGUAGCAUAAUAAUUUGUUUUUUAAUUAAAAACUAGAAUGAAAGAUUUAAUGAAAUAUAAUCUGUUUCAAUUAAUUUAAUUAUUAAAAUUUUUAUUUAAGUAAAAAAACUUAAAUAAAUUUUAAAGACGACAAGACCCUAUAGAAUUUAAUUUAAUUAAUUUUAAGUUAAAAUUAAUUAAAUUUAAUUGGGAGAAUUAAAAAAUUAAAUUAAUUUUUUUUAAAAAAUACAUAAUUAAAUGAUUUUAUUAUAUCUUAAUUUUUAAAUUAAAAAAAUUAAUUACCUUAGGGAUAACAGCAUAAUUUUUUUUAAAAGAUCUUAUUAAUAAAAAAGAUUAU